GACUGUGGCCAUACCGGCUUGUCAAAGCCUGAUCUCGUCAGAUCUCAGAUGCUAAGCAGAGCUGAGCCUGUUUAGUAUUUGGAUGGGAGACGUCUGGGAAUACCAGGUGCCGCAAUGG
rnacentral:rRNA from 1 species